rnacentral:lncRNA from 1 species
UUUAUUUACACAACUUUUUUUAUAUAAGAUAUAAAUUUUUUUUAAUAAUAGUUAAUUAGACCCAGUCGAAUCACAGCGAAGGUGUACUGCACGAGGCUUAUGUAUAUUCGGAUUAUUCAAACACUAUUCAUUUUCUAUAUUCAGAUCAUUCAAAUUUUAUUAAUUUCUAUAUUUGGUCAUUCAAAUACUAUUAUUUAACUUUGACCCAAAAAUAAUUUAAAGAGACCAGACCAAUUGUCCAUUGAAACGUAGAGUUCAUGACUGUGAACCGUUUUGCUACCCGAUAAGAAAAUGAAAAGAUCACAAAAUUUCACUUUCAAUCCACAUUUUCUCACGUUUGCAUGUGAAUCUGAUAAAGCAUUUCCAUGAACUGAGAAACUUGUCCACUCUCAAUCCACAUUACCAAAAUCAAUAACUUCUCUUUCACCUGGGCUGGGAUUUCAAUUUCUUUUCACUUAUGCCUUAAUGUCUCCUUCAUUUGUUGAGCUUCAAAGUUUCUUUUUAUACAAUUAAGUUAUGGGUUCCCCAUUUUUAUGCAUAAAUCUACUCAUUUGACGAUAUAAAGUCAGAAUAUUAGGUAUUAUAAAUAUUUUUUGUGGA